rnacentral:rRNA from 1 species
UACGAAGGGGGCGAGCGUUGUUCGGAAUUACUGGGCGUAAAGCGUGCGCAGGCGGUUCGUUGUGUCGGCGGUGAAAGCCCCGGGCUUAACCUGGGAAUGGCCGUUGAAACUGGCGAACUGGAGUGUGGCAGAGGGGGGUGGAAUUCCGCGUGUAGCAGUGAAAUGCGUAGAGAUGCGGAGGAACACCGAUGGCGAAGGCAGCCCCCUGGGCUAACACUGACGCUCAGGCACGAAAGCGUGGGGAGCAAACAGG